rnacentral:lncRNA from 1 species
GACUCAGAUUCUCCCCAGACGCCAAGGUUGCGGGUCAUGGAGUCCCGAACCCUCCUCCUGCUGUUCUCGGGAGCCGUGGCCCUGAUCCAGACCUGGGCAGAUUACAAUUACAAUCAAGGCAGAAAUGAUCUCAUUUUUACAUUACAACUCUGGAAAAGGCAAUAGACUGAGAUGCAAGUGUGCCCCCAAGUGAUGGGCAGAAGGAGAGAAGGUGUUUUGGAUGCAUUCUAGAACACAGGUAAUCUAAGGAGAGUUGAUCAAGGCCGUGGAAGAGUCCUCCAGCCACUAUUGGCCAUCAAAGGAGUCCUCUGUGUCCCAGGAAUGGUCCUGCUUUGGUGUCCCUGGUGUGACCCAUCACCCGCUGGGAACAGCCUGAGAGAAGUAGGGCCUCUGCACCAAUGCUGCUGAGGAUGUCAGAGCACAGGAACGAGGCCUUGGGAAAUUACCUGGAAAUGCGACUGAAAUCUUCCUUCCUGAGGGGUCUGGGCUCUUGGAAAUCAAACCCUCUCAGGUUGGGUGGCUGGACGAUUCUCCUCACACUUACAAUGGGACAAGGGGAACCAGGAGGCCCCCAAGGGGAUCCCUGGGUUCCACACGAACUCCUCCUACCCUCAUUGUGUGACAGCAGCCAUGCCUCCUCCUGGGGAUCAGGAUCUAUUACCUGUGCCUGGAGAGGAGGGGACUCCUCUUCUCACCCGCUGGUCUCUGGACACAUACUGUCCAAUUCCCCUGUGGCAGCUGUAAUGUGUAGUUCAAUGGGCACUCAUUUGUCCCCUUUUAAGGGUACCCUCCUUUAGAAUCCAGGACCUUCUACCCUGCAGAGUGUGGUUUUGGGAGAGAAGUGCAAAAUCCCACGACAGGUGAGUUGAAGGAAUGGGAUAUGGAGCCACAUCCACUUCCACCCCUUGGUAUCUGGACCCACGUGUUCUUCCUACUGAGAUUACAGAACUGUAGAGAUGUCUUUGAUUUUUAAAAUGCACCAUGUCCUGAAAGAUGGCACCCUCCCACCCGCAGAGUGCUUCCUGCAAGCUGGCGUUGAGCUGUGCCUAUAGAAGCUCUUUUCAACAUUCUUUAUGGCCAGCAGCCCUUGGUUGGUGCAGAUGGUGAUAGGACCAGUGGGUCCCACAGCAUGGCCACACUGCACCUCCUUCGCUGUCAAGUGGGUCCCCCACGAAGAUACUGCACGGAGAGCAGUGCCAAGCCUGUGGAUCAGGAAUAUCAACAGCCCCCAGAGAGUGGUGCUGGCUGAGGGUCUGAGAGCAGGACAGGAAAACCCACCUAUGGAAUAGGUGCCUAUCCCUGUGAAGAUGAACCUCUGGCCCUUCCAGGAUGGAAGGAGUGCAAUGUAGUCAACUCCUCACUUAGGGUCUGGUUGGUCACCUAAAGAAAUAGAGCCCUACCAGGGAAGAUCAUUGGGUUCAAAUGCUGAUGAGUAGGACAUUUAGAGGUGGCAGUGUCUGGAUCUACCUUGGUAGGAGGGAGUCAGUACUGUUGGACCCAUAGGUAGCCUCAUCCCUGCCACUGUGUUUGCUCCAUUUAUGUACCCAUCCUACCCGGCCUGGGCUGACCCAUGGGGAAGGCUGGCUAAUUUCAGUGCUUCUGCUUGGUUGUUCAGGGCCAUUUCAGGUUUGGGUGUUUUCUGGGGAUGUUAACAUGGGAUUCAGGCUCAACUCACAAGAAACUUUUCCAUCUCAUGAUGGAUGCUGUUGGGCAUGUCCAAUGUAUGACUUCAUGAGUUACACAGAUGCUAAUUCGUAGGGGCACUUGGAAUCACAUGGUUGUUUUGUGUCCCAUGGUCAAGCAUUCUAUCUUAUCAGGGCCUACAGUAACAUGCCAAAAGUUGCUUCCAACAUAUUUCUCUGCUUUGGAUGGGGCAUAUUUCUGUGCUGUGGAUGACAUGGCCUUACUCCAGAAUCCCAGGCCCUCCACUGUGACUCUCCUACUGGUGCUUGGUUCAGCUCCACCCCAAAUCUUACCCCACCACUGGCACUUUCAGCACCAGGGGGUCUGAAGGAUGGUGACUGCGCCAUGGCCUGGAUCUGCUGCAGUGUCCUUUCCUGUGGAGGCUCCACUCAAAGCUGGCAUCCUCCUAUGUCACCUAGAGUGUGGGUCAAAGCAAUACACCUACAUGUAGAAUGUGAUGUCAGAACUCAAACAGGCUCACCAGGCAGUGUGCUUCCUUCCUUGCAUGAGGAUGCAAGAUGCAACAGUUUGUCUUUCACAUUGGAAGGGACACCCCUGGAUGCCCCUAACCACUAGACCUGUAAAACUUCACUGCAGUGGCCACUUCUGAAUCUCUGUAAGGUUUAUUUAUCUUCACCCUCUGGAGAGAAGAUGUUUUACCAAAGCCUCUAGUGUACCUUCCUCCUCUUACUCAUCCAUCCCAGUCAACAUGAUGUUGUCAAUGAAAUAAAGGAAUUUAAUAUUCUAUAGUAUAUCCAGGUUCUCCAGAUCUCUUAAGACUGUACUAUAGAGGCCUGGGGAAUUAUAAUAGCCCUGAGGCAAACUAUGAAUUAAAGUGUUGUGGAUCCCACAUGAA